rnacentral:lncRNA from 1 species
AUGGACAAGAAGCGAAGUAAAUCAAGUGAUGCAUCAUCAGGAAGUAUGUUCCCAAUGCAGAGACGCAGUGGGCGAAAUCGAGAACCUUCCUCGCCUCUCAGAAAAAGUCCCUCACCCUCACCUCCCUCUCAACGAGUGCUUCGAGCGCGAAAAAGUACCUAUUUCGGAGAAGUGGAUUCCUCUGAUGAGGAUGAAGACUUUGAAUUUUUAAUUGCAUCAGGGAAGUUUCUCAAUGAAAGUGAAGCAGGCAGCAGCCCAAAAUCUAGAAGAGACAAGAGCUUGAACAAAGAAAUAAUCCCAGCAGAUAAGAAAGAAGAGAAAAAAUUGGUCCUCUCCAAACGCAACAAUGUUGCCGAGUCCAGAUCAAACUUGAGGGCUUCAAAUCAAGAUAAGCCCCAAGAGAGUGUGCCAGACAGUGGAUCUCUAAAAAAAAUUGACAACAAGAAUCAAUAUGUAGACAGUGCAAAAAGUAAGUUAGAAAAGUUGGAAGAAGCCUCUGCGAAUAAAAUGAAUUUCAAUGGAAAUUCGUCACAAAAUGAUGCCAGCGGCUUCAAAAAUACUGUGAUUUCUCCUGAUGGGAAAAGCAAGUUCCCAAAUGAUUGGAAUGACAACAGAAGCAGAAGUUAUCCGCUGGCUGCUGCCUUGGGUUCCAGACCAGAUGGUUUUUUGAAGAACACGAAUACCUUAAGGCAUGAAGCAAGUAGUAGCUCUAGCUCUGCAUCAAAAACUUCCUAUGGUCUCCAUCAAAAUGAGACGUUCCCCGCAAAAACUCAGAAUUCCGUCUCAAGUCCAAUGGGGGCAAGCUCCUCAUCACAAGUUCAGGAUUCAAAAUCAAUUAACAAUCAAAUAACUAACUUCCUCUACCAGACACCAGUUAAACCAUCAAAAGAUCAUGUUGACAUAAUGAAGAACACCUCGAACAGCUCUGUCUCGUCCAGAAAUUUAAAUCUUACUCCAAAUUCUGUUGGGACAGCCUUGAACUGCCCCAUCAAAGAAACGAGUACUCUCCAAACAAGUGCAAAUCCCUUGAACGCCGUAAAAGAUACGAAUAUCCAGGUUGAGACCGGAAAUAACAGUGCUCUUGUUCAGCAAAGUUGUUCCAGUGUGUCAAAUUUACCGCCCAACAAAAGUCCAGAGCUCCCACGAAUACCAAACAGCGAUCCAAGCAAGAUCCCUAACAAUCCUCGGACAUAUUUCAAUCGCAGUCUUGCUGCUGCACAUUUAAAAUCACAUUCUUCAGGUAUGUCUGGCAGUAAAAAUGUAUUCAUGCGAGCCACAGAUGAGAAGCAAGUUAAUGAAAUUCUGAAACCAGUAAACAAAGACACUGAAUCAGCUACCACUCAUCCUAAAAAGGAUGUUGAUUCAAACACACCCAUGUCAGAUCUUGUAAAGAAGUCUUCAAGUAAAGAGAAAGACUCGCUUGUUAUAUCGCCAGCCUCCGAACCAGUCGCAGAUGCAAGUAGUGCUUCGAAAGAACCAACAGCCUCCGCUUCAGUCAAUCUCAGUGCAUCUUGGAAGAAUGCAUUUAAAAAUGUGAAGUUACCAAAACCAUUUGCUAGUGUACCAAAACUCCCAUGGAUAGAAUGCAUGGAUCAAGAAACACUCGGCUCCGUUGAGGCUGAACAAACCAAAUGA